GACGAACGCUGGCGGCGUGCCUAAUACAUGCAAGUUGAGCGAUGAAGAUUGGUGCUUGCACCAAUUUGAAGAGCAGCGAACGGGUGAGUAACGCGUGGGGAAUCUGCCUUUGAGCGGGGGACAACAUUUGGAAACGAAUGCUAAUACCGCAUAACAACUUUAAACAUAAGUUUUAAGUUUGAAAGAUGCAAUUGCAUCACUCAAAGAUGAUCCCGCGUUGCAUUAGCUAGUUGGUGAGGUAAAGGCUCACCAAGGCGAUGAUACAUAGCCGACCUGAGAGGGUGAUCGGCCACAUUGGGACUGAGACACGGCCCAAACUCCUACGGGAGGCAGCAGUAGGGAAUCUUCGGCAAUGGACGAAAGUCUGACCGAGCAACGCCGCGUGAGUGAAGAAGGUUUUCGGAUCGUAAAACUCUGUUGGUAGAGAAGAACGUUGGUGAGAGUGGAAAGCUCAUCAAGUGACGUAACUACCCAGAAAGGGACGGCUAACUACGUG
rnacentral:rRNA from 1 species